rnacentral:rRNA from 1 species
AGCAGCCGCGGUAAUUCCAGCUCCAAUAGCGUAUAUUAAAGUUGUUGCAGUUAAAAAGCUCGUAGUUGAAUUUCGGGAUCAGUUGGUCGGUCGUGCCUCGGUACGUACUGGUCAAAUUGAUUCCUACCUUCUGACGAACCGCGAUGUCAUUAAUUUGGUGUCGCGGGAAAUCAGGACUGUUACUUUGAAAAAUUAGAGUGUUUAAAGCAGGCUCGCGCUUGAAUACAUUAGCACGGAAUAAUGAAAUAGGACGUUUGAUUCUAUUUUGUUGGUUUCUGGGAUCGACGUAAUGAUUAAUAGGGAUAGUUGGGGGCAUUAGUAUUCAAUUGUCAGAGGUGAAAUUCUUGGAUUUAUUGAAGACUAACUACUGCGAAAGCAUUUGCCAAGGAUGUUUUCAUUAAUCAAGAACGAAAGUUAGGGGAUCGAAGACGAUCAGAUACCGUCGUAGUCUUAACCAUAAACUAUGCCGACUAGGGAUCGGAUGAUGUUAAUUUUUAAUGACUCAUUCGGCGCCUACGGG